GUCGUGGAUUCCGGCUGUGGGUAUUUUAUACCCAACACAAACCAAAUAUAAUUAAAUUAUAUUUAAUUAGACUAAAUCUCAGCUCAUUGGCUUAAUCAAAUUAAGCCAAUUAGCAAUCGAAUUGCUAAUCGAUCCUCCUGCAACACUUGCACUGGGUUAAAUGUCAAUCGUAUUGAUCAUUUAACCCUAGAAUGAUUCUUAAUCGUUGAUCAACCAUCUGAUCGGAUCAUAAACUCUAAUGUGUGUGACCUCAUAGGUCUGAACCUAAGUCGGUAGCAUAGGAAUAAAUUCCUGUACCAAUCGAAGUGAUCAUCUAGCAAUGGUACCCGACGACUGGAUAGAUCGAAUAUGUAGAACAACAUCCUUAGAACCCAUGUGGAUAUAGUUUUCAUAUAAUUCAUCCCCUUGACCAAAAUGAUCAUAGAAUACCCUAGAGUUCAACUGUCAACUCUGAUUAGGUUGUCCACAUUGUAUUUCAAAAUAUCAAAUCCAUCUGAUGGAUUAUCCUGGCCAAGAUUUUGCUAAAUUGAAAUACAACGACUCAUUCUUCUCCAACUCUUGGAGUGGUCAAUCCCAUCUUGAUCACACUCUGACUUUGCAAGUACUUGACUGUGCCCAGAAGCCUUCCAUCUCUGAAUUAGAAAUUCAGUUAGUCCAGUACCAAAGCACAGUGAGUUGCUUGCAAGUCACUGAGGUGAUCUCAGGUCU
rnacentral:lncRNA from 1 species